rnacentral:rRNA from 1 species
AGCGAACGCUGGCGGCAGGCCUAACGCAUGCAAGUCGAACGAAGUCUUCGGACUUAGUGGCGGACGGGUGAGUAACACGUGGGAACGUGCCUUUAGGUUCGGAAUAACUCAGGGAAACUUAUGCUAAUACCGAAUGUGCCCUUCGGGGGAAAGAUUUAUCGCCUUUAGAGCGGCCCGCGUCUGAUUAGCUAGUUGGUGAGGUAAAGGGUCACCAAGGCGACGAUCAGUAGCUGGUCUGAGAGGAUGAUCAGCCACAUUGGGACUGAGACACGGCCCAAACUCCUACGGGAGGCAGCAGUGGGGAAUCUUGCGCUAUGGGCGAAAGCCUGACGCAGCCAUGCCGCGUGAAUGAUGAAGGUCUUAGGAUUGUAAAAUUCUUUCACCGGGGACGAUAAUGACGGUACCCGGAGAAGAAGCCCCGGCUAACUUCGUGCCAGCAGCCGCCGUAA